ACGGGUGAGUAACGCGUGGGAACGUGCCCUUCGGUUCGGAAUAACUCAGGGAAACUUGAGCUAAUACCGGAUACGCCCUUAUGGGGAAAGGUUUACUGCCGAAGGAUCGGCCCGCGUCUGAUUAGCUAGUUGGUGAGGUUACGGCUCACCAAGGCGACGAUCAGUAGCUGGUCUGAGAGGAUGAUCAGCCACACUGGGACUGAGACACGGCCCAGACUCCUACGGGAGGCAGCAGUGGGGAAUAUUGGACAAUGGGGGCAACCCUGAUCCAGCCAUGCCGCGUGAGUGAUGACGGCCUUAGGGUUGUAAAGCUCUUUUCUCCGGGACGAUAAUGACGGUACCGGAGGAAUAAGCCCCGGCUAACUUCGUGCCAGCAGCCGCGGUAAUACGAAGGGGGCUAGCGUUGCUCGGAAUCACUGGGCGUAAAGGGCGCGUAGGCGGCUGAUUUAGUCGAGGGUGAAAGCCCGUGGCUCAACCACGGAAUGGCCUUCGAUACUGGUUGGCUUGAGACCGGAAGAGGACAGCGGAACUGCGAGUGUAGAGGUGAAAUUCGUAGA
rnacentral:rRNA from 1 species